UACGGAGGAUGCAAGCGUUAUCCGGAAUGAUUGGGCGUAAAGCGUCCGCAGGUGGCAAUGUAAGUCUGCUGUCAAAGCGUCUGGCUCAACCAGAUAAAGGCAGUGGAAACUACAUAGCUAGAGUAAGGUAGGGGUAGAGGGAAUUCCUGGUGUAGCGGUGAAAUGCGUAGGGAUCAGGAAGAACACCGGUGGCGAAAGCGCUCUGCUGGACCUUAACUGACACUGAGGGACGAAAGCUAGGGGAGCGAAUGGG
rnacentral:rRNA from 1 species